AUGUCCUGGAACGUUAGGGGCCUAAAUGCGCCGGCCAAGCGUGAGGCCAUUUGAGAAGCUGCUGCUGCUCACAAGACAGCCAUUCUGACGCUGUAAGAAACAAAGAUAGAUGUUUGGUCUUCAGAAACCGCGCGUGAGGUAGGGGGACAGCUCCUGCAGGGCUGUGUGGUUCUUUCGGCCCUGGGGAUGAGGGGUGGCGCUGCAAUCUUCUAGAACAAAGAAGUAGUCUCCAUUGACUCACACUCCAUAGGUAGAUUCACCAUCAUGAUUAAGGUUACUGAACUUAGGAGCAAUGUCCAGUACUGGUUGACAACGGCAUACGGGCCAAUUGAGGCAGCCAUCAGAGAGGAGUUUUUUCUUGAGAUGGCCAACAUUGCACCACCUGCGGGUGAGCCGUGGGUGAUCACAGGAGAUUUCAACAUGAUUUAUGAAGCUAGAGACAAGAGAAAUUCGAAUUUGAAAAGGAGGCUUCUGGGCAGAUUUAGGAAGGCUUUGGAUGUAGCCGGUUUAAAAGAAAUCAAAUGCCACAACAGAAGGUUCACUUGGAGCAAUGAAAGAGAAAACCCAACCUUUUGUAGCAUCGAUAAGUUCUUCUGUAAUGUAGACUGA
rnacentral:rRNA from 1 species